AUUGAACGCUGGCGGCAGGCCUAACACAUGCAAGUCGAGCGGAGCGGCGGACGGGUGAGGAAUGCCUAGGAAUCUGCCUGGUAGUGGGGGAUAACGUUCAGAAACGGGCGCUAAGACCGCAUACUAUCAGAUGAGGAUAGGUCGGAUUGGCUAGUGGGUGGGGUAGCGGCCUACCAAGGCGACGAGACGUAACUGGCCUGAGAGGAUGAUCAGUAACAUUGGAACUGAGACACGGUCCAUACUCCUACGGGAGGCAGCAGUGGGGAAUAUUGGACAAUGGGCGAAAGCCUGAUCCAGUCAUGCCGCGUGUGUGAAGAAGGUCUUCGGAUUGUAAAUCACUUUAAGUUGGGAGGCGUUACUAACAAAAUAAGCACCGGCUAACUUCGUGCCAGCCGCGCGGUAAUUC
rnacentral:rRNA from 1 species